GAGAUAGUGUGUCUUUGUUUUAACAAAAAAUAAAAGUAAAAAAACUAAAUUAGUUGUUCUCCAUAAAUUUAAGUGUAUGUGCAUGCGUCUGUCUUCAGUACUCCUCUGAAUAAGCCUAUGAAUUUGUGUGCAAAAGAAACAAAAUAAAUUGUUAGCGCAAAAUAAAAGUCAACUACAUUGUGUUUUUUAAGUUAAAGAAGAAUCUAUUACAUACAUAUUUGUCAGCCCUGCUGAAAUUUUAUUAAAUAUAUAAUAGUGUGUGAAUAAAAUAAAAUGUGAAAAAAUAUACUGUUACUAUCUCCCCCUCCUACCUUUUACAGUAUUAAAGUGAAAAGACGAAAGUGUAUGAGACAAGAGAAGAAAUAUUAACAACAACAGCAACAUUUUGUGUAAGUGCGUCCCGUGUAGAUUUGACGUUUAACAAAUCUCUAACUCCCAUCCCAUUGCUCUCUUCGUUGCUCUCUAUCACUCACAUGCUCUCACCGGUCACCAGUGUUGUUUUUAGUUGGCAGCAGUAUAUGUUAAGAAAACAACAAAAUAUAAGUGUACAUAAUUGAGAAAGAGGAGCCAGAACAACCCAGAGAGAAGAUUACCAUUUGCUCUCAGCUGCUGAACCAGGCAGACACACACACACACGUUAAUGAGUGAGUGCAUUUGUUUGUGCCGUUUAUCGGUGGUUUGCCUUUGUUCAUUGGCUCUGCUUAGUAGUGAGAUAGUUGGUGCGUUUGCUUUGUGCUUUUUUUCCAACCGGCGUUUUAACAUAAAAAAUUGAUUGUUAGCAACAACAACAACAAUAAUAAAAAAAAAAAUAUAGUUAAAACAACAUCAAUCAACAACCAAAAGAGGCAAUGUAAAAAUUUUUAAACAAAAUCAAUUAAAAUACAAAACGUCUGCUUUAAGUGAAUAAAUAAAGGAAAUGUGUGUUAAAUAAAUACAAAUUGCUAAUAAACAAGUAAAUAUUAGCAGCAGAAAGCAGGCAAUCAACAAAGCGAAUCACAAUAAAGAUAAAUAUUACCGCAGUUAUCAGCGCUUAUAGAAAUUAAGAUACUAUUAGCCGAAAAAAUUUGUUUGACGUACAUACCUACAUACAUAUAAAACACACAUAUAUACCCAUAUAUAUUAUCCUAUAUCCCCUAUCCACAAUCAUCAGAAGAGCAACGCAAAAUAAAAUUCAUAAAAACCUAUGAAAAAAAAGGAAAAAAAACCCAAAAUUGCUUUUACGUAAGGGCUUUGAAAAAAUAAAUAUUGCUGUACUCAUCUGUAAACGCGGCCACCAUAAUAGAUUGUGAAUUCGAAACAAAAUAAAAAAUUUUAAUUAAAGUGAAAAAUCUCCACGUUGAACAGCUUUUGUUUCGCAUUUAUCCUGAUUCUAUGUUUCCUUGAGCUCUCAGGCCACUGCCGUCGCCGUCGCCGUUGCCGCCUACUCCCCAACAACAAGUAUCCUCAAACACGCAACCUUUACGUUGUGUGUGUGAGUGUGCGUUUGAAUGUGAGCUGCGCGAAUAUACGAGUACACAAAUCCAUAAAGGCCGGCAUACGACGGCACAACAAUUGUUUGCAGUAACGCGUGCUUGUGUGUGUGUGUAUUUACAAGGAUAUAUAGAAAUUGUGUGAAUAUAUGUGGGGCUUAGUGUGUAAAACACAAGUUUUGUUUAUGCUCUUCUCACUGAUGUCGAAGUGAAAAGAGUGUAUUUGAGUGAUUCGAUGUGUAGGUGUGUACUUGCGUGGGUCCGUUAGUAUCCUCGCGUUAACAAAACAAACUUUGAUGGUGGCUUUGGCAAACUCAUAUCCAUCCACUCAUCUAUCCCAUCACAUAACAUACCAUUAAUCAGGCCUAGCAACAAACAAACUAAUAAUCUAACGGAAAGUGUUGUUUCGCCGCCAGAAACAGCUUCAAUUCAAACGUCUCGGGCAAAAGGCGAAGAAAUUCAAUUCAUUGUUGUCGUGUUAAAAUUCAAUGAGCGUUUCGAUGUCUCUCGUACAAGGUGGAGCUGCUGGCGGUGCGCCACAAGGAGCUAUACUUGCUGCUGCCGCACCUUAUUAUCAGCCACCGGCAGUACCGCAGGAUGUGCAACCAGAUCGUCCCAUUGGCUAUGGUGCUUUCGGAGUAGUAUGGGCUGUCACAGAUCCCCGCGAUGGACGUCGCGUAGCACUCAAAAAACUUCCAAAUGUCUUUCAAUCAUUGGUUUCAUCAAAGCGAGUUUUUCGUGAAUUAAAGAUGCUGUGUUUUUUCAAACAUGAAAAUGUCCUGUCAGCAUUGGAUAUUCUACAGCCACCUCAUUUGGAUUUCUUCCAAGAAAUAUAUGUGAUAACCGAACUUCUUCAAUCAGAUCUCCACAAAAUCAUUGUUUCACCGCAACAUUUAUCUGCCGAUCACAUCAAAGUGUUCCUGUAUCAAAUUCUACGUGGUCUCAAAUAUCUACAUUCUGCCCGAAUACUGCAUCGUGACAUUAAGCCCGGCAAUUUGUUGGUCAACUCGAAUUGCGUGCUAAAAAUAUGCGACUUUGGACUGGCUCGUGUGGAGGAGCCCGAUCAAACGAAACACAUGACCCAAGAGGUGGUAACGCAAUACUACAGAGCACCCGAAAUUUUAAUGGGGGCGCGUCACUAUUCCUCCGCUGUGGAUGUGUGGUCGGUGGGCUGUAUUUUUGGCGAGCUGCUGGGGCGUCGCAUUCUCUUUCAAGCUCAGAAUCCUAUACAACAAUUAGAUCUCAUUACCGAACUCUUGGGCACACCUUCGAUGGAGGAUAUGCGUCAUGCCUGUAGUGGCGCCCGUUCACACAUGAUGCGGCGUACACCCAAACUGCCCUCGUUCUCUGCUCUCUACACCCUAAGUUCACAUGCCACACACGAUGCAGUGCAUCUGCUGUGUCAAAUGUUGGUAUUUGAUCCUGAUAAGCGCAUUUCAGUGACGGAUGCCUUGGCCCAUCCCUAUUUGGAUGAAGGACGUUUGCGUUAUCACUCGUGCAUGUGCAAAUGCUGCUUUACCACACCGGCCGGUAUGCGACAAUACACAAAUGACUUUGAGCCCUCGGCUGGACAAGCGUUCGAUGAUUUAUGGGAAAGAAAACUGACAUCGGUGCAGCAGGUCAAAGAGGAAAUGCAUAAAUUCAUAGCAGAACAGCUGCAGACGGGUCGAGUUCCAUUGUGCAUAAACCCCCAAAGUGCAGCAUUCAAAAGUUUUGCCAGCCAAUAAAAUAGUGAAGUAAAUCGUAAACCACAAAAUAGUUCUACUACAGAAUAAAACACACACUGCUGCUUAACCGAUAGAUAAAAAACUUAAAAAAAAAUAUAUAGAUCAACGAAUAAAAAAUAGAGAACUUGAAUAAUUCAAAGGAAUCAAAUUUCCAAUGAAAACCACUCAACAGAAACAGAAGACUUCAGUGAUAUUAACAAGGAUCCUUAGAGAGAAAGAAAGUGAAUAAAGAAUGAGAGAGGGGACACAAGGGCUGACCUUGAAUAUGACGAGAAGAUUCAAAAGUGCAUUUAAAAUACGAAAAGAGAUACAACUCGAAUGUUGGCCAGAGGCCAAAGCUAGCUGCCAACUUAAUAAUUGGUCGAAGCCCCCUAAAAUAUGCAACACUUAUAAUCAAGCUGUAAGCUGUAAUUGCAUUAUAAAGCGCCAAACAGCAAAUUCGUAUACGUAAAUAGUUAAACUGGAAACUUUUAAAUAUUUGCUAUAGCCAUGCCCUGUCCUGCCCUUCGGUAUCAUAUCAUCUUAGAGGGCGUUUUGUUUGCGCCAUUAAACCAGCCACAAUCGUUUAUGUCCUUCUGAGCAUUGAGAAUCUUGUACUGCAUUGCUCCUCUAGUUCAACGGUGGCGCAUCCUUCCGAAUUGCCACCAUCACCCCAUCAAUGGGAAUGACGGCAAAAUGAGGCCAUAGCAGCCUAAAAUUUU